rnacentral:tRNA from 1 species
GGGAUUAUAGCUCAGUGGUAAAGUGCCUGCCUGGCAAGCAUGAGGUCAUGAAUUUGAUCCCU